rnacentral:rRNA from 1 species
UACGUAGGGUGCAAGCGUUGUCCGGAAUUAUUGGGCGUAAAGGGCUCGCAGGCGGUCUUCUAAGUCUGAUGUGAAGUCUUGCGGCUUAACCGUAAGCGGUCAUUGGAAACUGGAGGACUUGAGUACAGAAGAGGAGAGUGGAAUUCCACGUGUAGCGGUGAAAUGCGUAGAGAUGUGGAGGAACACCAGUGGCGAAGGCGACUCUCUGGUCUGUAACUGACGCUGAGGAGCGAAAGCGUGGGGAGCAAACAGG